rnacentral:tRNA from 1 species
GGGGCUGUAGCUCAGUUGGGAGAGCACCUGCUUUGCAAGCAGGGGGUCACCGGUUCGAGCCCGGUCAGCUCCACCA